rnacentral:rRNA from 1 species
UACGUAGGGGGCAAGCGUUGUCCGGAAUCAUUGGGCGUAAAGCGCGUGUAGGCGGCCAGAAAAGUCCGCUGUGAAAACUCGAGGCUCAACUUCGAGCUGUCGGUGGAAACUUUCUGGCUAGAGUCCGGAAGAGGAGAAUGGAAUUCCUGGUGUGAGCGGUGAAAUGCGCAGAUAUCAGGAAGAACACCCGUGGCGAAGGCGGUUCUCUGGGACGGUACUGACGCUGAGACGCGAAAGCGUGGGGAGCGAACAGG